AGAGGGUGCAAGCGUUAAUCGGAAUUACUGGGCGUAAAGCGCGCGUAGGCAGUUCGAUAAGUCGGAUGUGAAAUCCCCGGGCUUAACCUGGGAAUUGCAUUCGAGACUGUCAGACUAGAGUAUGGUAGAGGGAAGUGGAAUUCCACAUGUAGCGGUGAAAUGCGUAGAUAUGUGGAGGAACAUCAGUGGCGAAGGCGGCUUCCUGGACCAAUACUGACGCUGAUGCGCGAAAGCGUGGGGAGCAAACAGGAUUAGAUACCCUGGUAGUCCACGCCGUAAACGAUGAGAACUAGGCGCUGGGGGGCUUGACCUCUUAGUGUCGAAGCUAACGCGAUAAGUUCUCCGCCUGGGGAGUACGGCCGCAAGGUUA
rnacentral:rRNA from 1 species